ACCAAACAAACCCUAAGCCUGAACAAAAGAAACUGAUUGAUUCCCUUCACCACGCGAACCCAACGGUAACAAAACCAUUUUGGGGAAUGAUUUCGCAUCAACUUUCGCGUGUAUCAGUCGUUGUCCGCCCAUUUUGGGCAAAGCAUUUAAUGCCUUUGUUGUCUUCUUCCCCAAAUCAAAUCUUGAAAAUUUUCUUUUCUAUCUGUUUUUCUCUUUUGUUUUCUGGAGAAAUAUUCGAAUUUCAAACUCGAAUUUCAAAGGAAAUCCCACGAAUUUCAGUUUCAAGUCCGUCCCACAUCAAUUGAAAAGCUAGAACCCUAGCCAUUUGGUGUUCUAUAAAUAGAACCCUCUCCUUCAUUGUCAAGGGAUAAGUUUUUGACACCCCCAGAACCCAGAAUGCUAAAUGAAUUCAGCUAAAAGGCAUUUUGAGCCCGAGCCUUGAAUUCGAGUUGUGUUCUGAGUUCAAAGUUAAUAAUUUUUGUUGGUUCUAUUUGUCUUCAUUGGUGAAAGAUGAUCGACUCAACUCUCGUCGCUGCUCAGCAAAAAGGUAAUUUUCUUUCCUUCUUAAUUUUAUUUUUAUUUCUGGUUGCGUAUUUAAAUUCCGCGCUCAGAUUAGUUUAGUUCAAAUCAGUAUGCUAAGUUAUUGAUUUAUGGUGAAACUGUUCCUUCCCUGUUUUCAUUUAGUCCGGUCACUUUUUCUCUUUGUUUUGGUGUUUCAUUUUCUGUUUAAACCCAUUCAAGGCUUAUGUUAGCUAAGUUUUCUACUCUGUGUUAGUUACUUCAAAUGCUUAGUCCCAGUUUUGUUUAUAAUUGGUUUAAAUCUUCUCUAGUUAACUAUAUGAUUAGUUUAUAGUGAUGAGCUUAUGGCUAUUAGUUUUGUUAGCUAGUCAUUGUUGUGCCCUUAGCUUGUUGCUGUUUUUAGUUUUGAUGCCUUCUUAACGUUGACUAGCUAGUUAUUACUAUUGGUUAGCUGACCACAAUUAGCCAGGAAUACAGGACAAAGGGGAAGCUCUUUAUUAAACUAACUAAUCAUGUUAUUAUGAUAAACUACUACUGUUUGGAUAGGUGCUAAUAGGGAAAAUCUGUUUGGAUGGAUAUUCCUUAGCACUGUCUCAAAUUUGAAGACCAAAUAUAUUUUCUUUGAACAAAUGAGCAUUUAACUGUCUUUCUUUUAAAGGGUGUUCCAGUAUGCUUAAUCCAGGAUCUAGUUUGACUUGUUGUUUUAACUCAAAUUUGUAGGACUGAAUGCUUGUUAUUAGUUUAAUCCUUCAUCUUGUUAUGUUUCAAUCAAUAAGUCCCCCUCUUUUUUUUUUUAGAGUCUGUUUCAGUAUUGUUUCCAACUUAAAUAUGUUGCUUUCAAUAACCUUGUUGCUUUCCUUUGGAUUUUGGGCUGAGACAAAGUUUACUGAUAACUGAUAAUAUGAAUCAUGCUUAAGCCUUUAAGGAACUAUUUUUCUUUUCAAACUAAUCGAUCACUGAACUGAUUUACUUGUUGACUGGAGCAUUGUUUGCUUUCUUUCCUUUCAUUAGUCUACUUCUCUUUGAAUUGACCUAAGAAUGAGUAAAAGAAUUGCUUUAAACAAAUGUGGUUCCCCCAAGUAUUUUGCUAUCAUCUCUUUUAAAGGUUCUAAAAAAUGAUUUUGGAAUUGAAUGAAGAUUCUUAAAAUAGCAGUGUUAAAUAUGAGUUGGAAUAUGUUAAGCAUCUAUAUUGGAUUACAUAUAGCAUUGACCUUUCAAAAAUUGAUUUGUCAUUCUCUCCAAAAAAUGAAACACCAUUAAGAUGAGCUUAGGGGAAAUUUUUAGCUAAAAGGAAUGUCUGUUGAAACAUGUUUAACCACUAAAUCUAACAUCAUGUUUCUGUUUUGAGGUUGGAAAGGAACAAUAUACAUUCUUGAGGGGUGUCCUUCUCUAAAAAUUUAACCCUUGUGUGUUGUGUUCCAAGCAUCAACCAAAACUGUUUCUGUGGUGGUUCUCUUGUCUGAACUCUCUUUCCUUUUUGAAAUGGAUGCAUAUUUGCUUUGACCUCAUUUCGUGUUGCUACCUUCACCUAGAACCAAUUGAGUUUUAGAAUUUAAUAGGUUGUUUGUUGUUUUUCUCUAAAAGAAACCAGGUGUGUAAAAAUCUGAUUUGAGACAUUGCUUUAUUCCUAUCUUGUUGAGUUUCUAAAUUGUUUGCAUAAGGCCUUGAUCCCUUUUCUUUUAAAAUGAACUUAAAUGAAGUGUUUAAUUUCAAAAGAAAGAUUGUUUUUUUGGAAUAUGUUCUGUUUGCUUCCUGUCCUAGUUAAUGGUAUAAUUCUCUAAGUAACCAAAAAUAGUUAUCAAUCUUCAUUCGCUUAUUUUCAUCUUAACAGUAGGCAUGGGUCAUUAUGGUUAGCUAUAGUUUUACUUUGGAAAAGUUUUCUUUGAAGCUAAGUAGUUAAGAAUGUUCCUUUUCGAAUUCAAUCAUUGUUUUUUAGUUGUUAAAUAGAAAGUUUUAAAUUCUUGUUACCAGUUUCUAACCCAUAGGAAGUGAUUAAUCAUUAUGACUAGGAGGCAUCAGUUUUGGUUGAAAUUUAUUGUCUAAAUGUGAUGGAUUCAGAUGCAAUUCUUAAUACUCAUUCUUCACCUUCCUUCUUUUGCAUGAUUUGGGGACUUUAAGUCCCAAAUGUUCCGGAGUUGCUACUGAACCUGAGACUAUUGCUGCACCAUUACUACAAAUCAUUGGCUGUUUUUUUAAGGGAAACUGUUGCUAUAAAUAGCUGCUACAUUUCAGACACAGUUGGU